rnacentral:rRNA from 1 species
GAGAAGUCACCUUCGGGUGGCGAGUACAGCGGCGAACGGGUGAGUAACGCGUGGGUAAUCUGCCUUCAGGUCUGGGACAACGCCGGGAAACUGGUGCUAAUACCGGAUAAGACUUCGAAGCCCCCGGGCUUUGCGGAAAAAGGUGGCCUCUUCUUGAAAGCCAUCGCCUGUUGAUGAGCCCGCGUCCCAUUAGCUUGUUGGUGAGGUAAAAGCUCACCAAGGCUUCGAUGGGUAGCUGGUCUGAGAGGAUGAUCAGCCACACUGGAACUGAGACACGGUCCAGACUCCUACGGGAGGCAGCAGUCGGGAAUAUUGGGCAAUGGGCGCAAGCCUGACCCAGCAACUCCGCGUGAGGGAUGAAGGCCCUCGGGUCGUAAACCUCUGUCGGGAGGGAAGAACGGGCCGUAGGUUAAUAGCCUGCGGUCUUGACGGUACCUCCAAAGGAAGCGCCGGCUAACUCCGUGCCAGCAGUCGCGGUAAUACGGAGGGCGCAAGCGUUGUUCGGAAUCAUUGGGCGUAAAGCGGGUGUAGGCGGCUUGGCAAGUCGGGUGUGAAAGCCCAGGGCCCAACCCUGGAACUGCACUCGAAACUGCUGAGCUAGAGUCCCGGAGAGGGUGGCGGAAUUCCCGGUGUAGAGGUGAAAUUCGUAGAUAUCGGGAGGAACACCAGUGGCGAAGGCGGCCACCUGGACGGUGACUGACGCUCAGACCCGAAAGCGUGGGGAGCAAACAGGAUUAGAUACC